rnacentral:rRNA from 1 species
CCCUUAGAUGUUCUGGGCCGCACGCGUGCUACACUGAUGCAUUCAACGAGUCUAAAACCUGGUCUGAUAGGGCUGGGUAAUCUUUUGAAAGUGCACCGUGAUUGGGAUAGAUGAUUGCAAUUCUUCAUCUUCAACGAGGAAUGCCUAGUAAACGCAAGUCAUCAGCUUGCAUUGAUUACGUCCCUGCCCUUUGUACACACCGCCCGUCGCUCCUACCGAUUGAAUGAUCCGAUGAAUACCAUGGAUUGAGAGUACGAAUAGGUUCGCUUAUUUCUGCUGCUCGAGAAGUGGAGUAAAUCUUAUCAUUUAGAGGAAGGAGAAGUCGUAACA